GCGUGGUGUUUGUGGAACCCGGCCAGAGUGCGGCCAGGGCCGGUCUCCGCUCCGGCGACUACGUGGUCCGAAUGGGAACAGAAAAUGUCGUCCUCAUGGACCAGAGUUCCGGACUCGAGCUGCUGCAACGUCAGGGCGAUACGCUGCAGCUGGAGGUGUACCGGCCACCGGACGGCGUGCCGCCCAGCAUGAUGGACGUGCUGCGGUGGACCUGACCUCGCCCCGACCUGGUGACCUCUGAGACUGGCCUCCGCUGGCCGGGACUGCUCCGAGACUCUGCCCGCUGGCCGGACGACUGCCCAGCGACUCUCGCUCCUGGACGGGACUGCUCAGAGGCUCUUCCCUGCUGGACGGAGCCGGCGCACUCUGAUCCAGACAUCAAUAGACGCCUACGUCUGCUGAACCCGUCUCCAGACAAUCCAACGCACGAGAGUCUGUGGAGGUGGAUUGCACUCCACCAAUGGGACUAAUCAGCCCAUUUACUCAGGAGCCUGCCGCAUAGCGCUUACUGCCACUUGUCUAAUCGUUUGAGGUCAACCCGACCGUUUGCCGUUGCUGCCCAACUGUGCUGAACGUUUGAAAGGCGAGUGCGGCGUAACGUUACUAUGUCGCAUAAUGCGUAUUGACAUGCGUUACGUAUAAACAUCCGCUUUUUCAAAAUCUACAACAUAUGUGUUCCCAACGAUUGUGUUCUUCUGAGCCCUAUUUUUUGUAGAUAUAUUUCCUUCUGUACAUAUGUUAAUUGUUAAGAUGCCUGCUAGUGACUGGCGGAAAUGCUCAACGUAUAGGUGAACUUUGUUGUGUUGUAACCGCUGGAUCGUGUGUAGCUACAACGUCAUGUUUGCAUGUUUGCAGCAAACCGAGGUACAACCAUACCUACUCCCACUCUGUGUGAGUUUACAUGUCUUGUGUGCUAAGACAAUGCUGUCCGAUGAUCGAGACGCCGCGAACAUUUACCGUCAAAUCUCUAUGUUGUCUCAUGGAGAGUCAGUCAUCACACGCAAUGUAUCGUAUUUCCAUCCCGUGAAACCUAUUGACAUUUCGCAAUGUAAGGAAUGUGCGUGGCUUUCUCGCUGACUGGCCUACUCAGCAAUCCUUUCCCACCAAUAGGGCCUCACAAUCUGUGUCUCACGGUCUUUUUGGACGAUAGCGGCGUUGUCUCGGUGGUUGCUGAACCGUCUUAGCGGGACGCGACGUUCCGUGUGGCUGUGCCCGCGGCGGUAUAAUGGGUUCGAAGCGUCCUGCGUGACCCCCAUCACCACGACACGCCAGGCCGACCCCAUCGGAAAUAAUCCAUCACUUGCCCGACGCCUGUGUCGAGCCUGUCGCCUAUCGGUUGCCAUUGAACGCUCGCUAUUGUCCUGUCAUCUAGCGGCAAGUAACGUAACUAUGUAGCGCACAAUUGUGAUGGCUGGGGCUCGGUAAUUGUAUUCGGUCCUCCUUGAUUUGGUAAGCAGCCUGCAAUGUGAGAUUCUCAUGCCUUGUUGUGCUCUAAAGUCAGUCAUAGGUGCCGUUUUCUGACUGUCAGACACGACGACAGUGUAUAGGGUUUAGGGUCGGCCCAGGCAGGAGGCUGUCAGACCGGGCUCUUGGGGCCUUCGUGGUACAGUCGAUUCGGCCCAGCAUAUGCCACAGCUGGUCGUGUAAGUGCUCGUCAGAGUCACACCAAAUCGCCACAGCUCGGCUUUUUAUUCAGUCCGAGCGUCGCCAUCCGACAUAAUGUGCUCUGACCAUCUCUGAAGUGAGAUGUUCGCGUUUAUUUCCAGCAUAAACGUCGCCCAAGUUGGUGUUGAUCAACACGUCAGACAUAUCGCCGCCGGCGGUGGCCGACGCGACUGUUGAUAGCCGGCGGCGACGGACGGGCCAGUUGAUAUGCCGUGCCGAUUCGGCGCGCCGGUUCUAGUCAUUCUGCGCCGCGAGUGCCGCCGGCGCCGCCCGCGGCGGGGGGGACGAUGUCGCUCAGUGUUGUGCUAAUGAUGUCAAUACAAACAGCCGUGAAUGGA